rnacentral:rRNA from 1 species
CCUACGGGGGGCAGCAGUGAGGAAUAUUGGUCAAUGGGCGCGAGCCUGAACCAGCCAAGCAGCGUGAAGGAUGAAUGCCCUACGGGUUGUAAACCCCUUUUAUAAAGGAAUAAAGUGAGGCACGUGUGCCUUCUUGUAUGUACUUUAUGAAUCAGGAUCGCCUAACUCCGUGCCAGCAGCCGCGGUAAUACGGGGGAUCCGAGCGUUAUCCGGAUUUAUGGGGUUUAAAGGGUGAGUAGGGGGAAUGCCAAGUCAGCGGUAAAAUCGCGGGGCUCAACCUCGCACCGCCGUUGAAACUGGCGUUCUUGAGUGGGCGAGAAGUAUGCGGAAUGCGUGGUGUAGCGGUGAAAUGCAUAGAUAUCACGCAGAACUCCGAUGGCGAAGGCAGCAUACCGGCGUCCAACUGACGCUGAGGCACGAAAGCGUGGGUAUCGAACAGGAUUAGAUACCCCUGUAGUC